CCUACGGGGGGCUGCAGUGAGGAAUAUUGGGCAAUGGGCGCGAGCCUGAACCAGCCAAGUCGCGUGAGGGAUGACGGUCCUACGGAUGGUAAACCUCGUUUGCCGGGGAGCAAGCGUGCGUUCGUGAACGCGCGUCGAGAGUACCCGGAGAAAAAGCAUCGGCCAACUCCGUGCCAGCAGCCGCGGUAAUACGUAGGUGGCAAGCGUUAUUCGGAUGUACUGGGUGUAAAGGGCGUGUAGGCGGGACUGCAAGUCAGAUGUGAAAACCAUGGGCUCAACCCAUUGCCUGCAUUUGAAACUGGAGUUCUUGAGUGUAGGAGAGGAAGGCGGAAUUCCGUGUGUAGCGGUGAAAUGCGUAGAUAUACGGAGGAACACCAGUGGCGAAGGCGACCUGCUGGACAAUAACUGACGCUGAGGCGCGAAAGCGUGGGGAGCAAACAGGAUUAGAUACCCCUGUAGUC
rnacentral:rRNA from 1 species